UCAGAUGGCCGGGCGGCCGCUGGCGUGCUUGCAUGCUGGAGGAAAGUCCGGGCUCCAUGAGGACAGGGCGGCGGGUAACUCCCGCCCGGCGUGAGCCGAGGGAAAGUGCCACAGAAAGCAAACCGCCCCGAUACGUCGGGGUAAGGGUGAAAGGGUGCGGUAAGAGCGCACCGCGGUUCUGGCAACAGGACUGGCAAGGUAAACCCCGCCUGGAGCAAGACCAAAUAGGGAAAGCAUGAUGGCGUGUCUUCGCGUCGCUUUCCGGGUCGGUCGCGUCAGGUGAUGAGCAAUCAUCAUCGCAGAGGAAUGGUCGCCAAUCCGCGUUUACGUGGUGAACAGAACCCGGCUUACAGGCCAUCUGAUCCU
rnacentral:RNase_P_RNA from 2 species